rnacentral:siRNA from 1 species
AACAACUAAAGGGACCACUAUCA